rnacentral:rRNA from 1 species
GAUGAACGCUGGCGGCGUGCUUAACACAUGCAAGUCGAACGAAGCACUUAUCUUUGAUUCUUCGGAUGAAGAGGUUUGUGACUGAGUGGCGGACGGGUGAGUAACGCGUGGGUAACCUGCCUCAUACAGGGGGAUAACAGUUAGAAAUGACUGCUAAUACCGCAUAAGACCACAGAGCCGCAUGGCUCGGUGGGAAAAACUCCGGUGGUAUGAGAUGGACCCGCGUCUGAUUAGGUAGUUGGUGGGGUAACGGCCUACCAAGCCAACGAUCAGUAGCCGACCUAAGAGGUGACCGGCACAUUGGGACUGAGACACGGGCCCAAACUCCUACGGGAGGCAGCAGUGGGGAAUAUGGUCAA